GCGGAGGGGCGGGACUACUGCCUGCCCGGUGUUAGGACGCCGCGGGUAUAGGAGGCGGAUGGUGGAGGUGCUUUGGUUGUAGGGUGCCCCAGCUAUGGUGUAUUCCAGCUAUAUAAUGCUCUAGCUUAAACAGAAGUUCUUGAUUCUGAGGGUAAUGCAGGCACUGGAACAGGUUUCCCAUAGGAAUUGUGGGUGCCCCGUUCCUGGAGGUAUGCAAGGCCAUGCUGGGUGGGGCCCUGGCAGCCGGGGCUGGGGGGUGCCAAGCAGUGCAUGGCAGGGAGUUAGAACUUGACUUUAAGGUCUCUUCCAACCCAACCAUUCUGUGCUUCUGUUUGGCUAUGGGUACCUGGCCAUAGGGCUGUAGCGCAGGGAGCUGCCGCUGGGGACGGUGUCACAGCUGAGGGGCAGUGCCAUGGGGUGCUCGUCCUUGGGGGCAGUUCCCAGCAGUGGGGCAGCUCCAGCCGGGACACAGCAGCAGCAGUGGCGUUUCAGACCGACCUCUCGUUGCUUUGCUCCGGGUUCUCACCAAAGCAACGUCCGAGGUGAUCAGAAGUGGAGAAGGAUCCAGGAGCAACACAACCACCGGCUCGUCCACGCCGUGGAGCCGGGAGACUCCUGCAGCGCCGGAGAGACCGUGCGCCCUAAGGCAGACUGUGACUUGUUGUGGUGGGAUGAGCCAUACAACAACAAAAUCACUAGUCUUCCAGAGGGCACCGCGGCCGUCCUUGUCCCGUGGCCACCACGCUGAUGUCACCCAGCAUUAUGGGGAUGUAGGGAUGCAGGAUGGGUGUCCUCACCCUCUGCCCUGCCUGGUCAGAAAGCCUCUUCCUCACCUCUCAGAGCACCCUGACCCGGUUUUGCUGCAUCCUCCAAAGCGACGGUGCCUGAGGUUCCUCUACAAGAGUUUGGCUGUACGCGGGCUGGAUGUUGUCAACCGGCGUUGUUUUCAGUGCAAAAAAUUUCAGAAGGAUCCAGGCAACGGGAUUCCUCAGAUAAAAAAAGCAUUCCUUCUGUUUGCACGUGCACUGUGCUGCUCAGGGUGCGGCUGCGUCUCUGGAUACCGGGACUCCGGUGCACCCGUGUGCUUGCUGGGAAUGCCGUUUGCUGGGAAUGCCGUUUCUUAGGAAUCUCAUCCUGGCUCAUGUUUCGUAUCCCCAGUGUGCUUGGAGCACCAUCCUGGUGGAGGACUUUGGUGCGCUUGACUGCAGAGCCCCGGCGCUGGGGGAUCCUGGAGGUGGAUCACCUUCUUCCAAACCCCCUUGGUGGCAAACCUCAUCACUUUACUCAGCUGAUAGCCUUUUCGGACCUGGCUAAAGGCUUCUCCAUCCUCCGAUAUGAAGGGUGUCCUGUAGGGUACGGAGGCACCGAGGCUCAGCACCACGGUCAGCUCUUGGCUGGUCCAGGCCCGUUGGGGAAGGUGAAUCUGGGGAGCGAUGCUAGCACGCAGCAGCCAUCCUUUUCCUUCUGCUUCUCCCCCAGCCAACACAAAGACCUUGGCACCAGCAGCCCUGCGAAUUCCUGCUGUUCAAAAGGUUGUAUAAUGGGCAACUGACCUCUGGGAGACGGUUUGUGAAUUGGUUGAAAUAACAGGUCUGGCUCUCUCCUAGGAAGCUACGUGGAGGUCAGCCUUGAAGAAAAGAGUGGUACAGCACCUCCAAGCAUUAGCAAGAAGAAAUAACUGAAGCAGAGAGACUUGAACAUAAUUACAGUCUAAGAGCUGCUGAGGGAGCUCAGCGACCUGAGCCCAUCUCCUAGACUUCAGUGCAAUCAACAGAUUGACACCACCAGCUCAUGAAGGCUGGUUUCUGGAAGCCAUGCAAUGGUGUUGAAUGCCAGAGCAGGUGGAGAAACAGCGCAGGUGCCUGUUCCAAGGGCUGGAGCUGGGGAAGGGUCUCAAAUGCCAUGGAGGAAGCAGAUGGAGGCAACCACUGGAACGCUCCGCGCUUAAUUGAGGGCACCUUCAAGGGUGAGCACGAGGUGGCUGCCCACUGCCAGGAUGCUCUGCUGCUGCCUUGUGAGUUGCUGUCAUUAGAACCAGGAAUGGAGUUUAUAGCUGAGUAACCACAACAACUUUGCACAAAUUAAACAACAUACUGCAGGUUAAUUAGAUUUCUUACUGCUGCCUCAAUUAACUUAGCCCUGUCAUCUGCUGUCAGAAGUGGAUGGAGCCCCUUUGAAAUUCAUGGAUUCUAUUGCUGGGAGAUGGGAAUGGCAAAACCUCUCCCUGGGCAACCACAACACUGAGUGAUGUGUGUUUGCAUGGAUGGGCAAUGCCAUCUUCAGUGCUUGGAAACCCUUUUGUGUGGCAGGGGAGAACAGCAGGAGAUGCACUUGUCCUCCACUACCACAGGGACCAAGGAGGAUUUCCCCUCUGGUGUUUCAAACUCACCUUGUCAUAAGACAAUCUUUAAAAAAAAAAGCAUAUUUGGAGGAAAAGUCUUUUCUUUUAACCAUUCCACACAAUGCUGUGUGAAUGCAAAUAAAUAUAAGGGCCCCCUAUGAAAACAUCUGAGAAUGCUGGUUUGUAAUUUUAAACCAAUUUCCUUCGACUGUGUCAGGGCCUGUUUUGUGUUUUCUCGACAAUUAUGUGGCUAAUGAGGACAGCCACAGCUACAUUAGGCAGGAUUAGGAAGAAUAAGGCUACAAAUGCUUCAGUGCUUAAGACAACCACUGACUAAUGGGGGGUAGGAGGGCAUGCCCCAGGAGCAGGCAGCUCCUCACAGGGUUUCUUAUGCUGCUUGGUUGCGCAGGAGGGAAGGGGAAGAGCAAGGGUAACAAAGGGGGUUUCUUGUCCCGUCUGCUGAGAGGUGGUCAUGCCUGUGGGAUGGGAGGAAACUCAGGGUAAAAAGCAAAAUAUCUCAUCUGCAAUGCUCUCCUCACAAAGAGAGCUUUGUUGCAUGGUCAGGACAGAGGUGUAAGCCUGGAAGAGACUGUACUGCUCAUGAACCAACCCAAAAAUGAGCAGCUGUGGUUGUACUGAGAGCCCUGCUUCUCCAACAGCAUCGUGGGUUAGGUGUGUUCAUGACAAGAGAGGGGAACUGGAGACACCUCUCCCUGCCAGCGGUACUAGAGAGCACAGCUCUGCAGAAGGGUUAAGGUGCCAUGGUCCUUGCUCUUCCACCCUCUCUUUCUGUGGCCACUGUGGUGCCCAUUGCCGAUUCUCCAGCUGCUCCUUUGGUCCCAUGCUUGGUCUUGUUGCCAUGAUCCUGCAGUCUGUAGGGUUGCACAUAGUCCUCCAGCCAAGGAAAAGUGACUGCAGCUCAUGGAGACCUCACAGAGACUCCAGUCCCUGGACCCAAGGCUGUUUUCACCAGCUGCAGACUACAGUACCCUGAGGGCCAUGCUUGCCCCUACCCUGUCCCCAGUGUGCCCACAGUGCCUGUGUCCAUGAACUGAGUCCCUGAAGAAGAUGGCACGGGUGCUGAAGAGCCUCCCUUGAGUACAGCAACUGAGUCGCACUCCGGCAGACUAAUUUACUCCCUAAUUGAUGUGGAAACGAUUGCCAGAAAGCACUGGAAUAUCGAGAAGUGAAGCUCUCCAUCUUGGCUUCCUUCAGGGAAAUGGUCUUAAUUAAGAGCCUGUCUUGCAAAGAGAGAUAAUUUCCAGCUAUGUGUUGUGAUAGGAGCCAGGAUGAAGGUUGCAGCUGAUACCAUCUUCUCCUCGCUGGAUCCACUUGGCUGUCGCACAGCGAGGGCAGAGCUGGGUGCAGGUUCCUCAGACAACUUCAUCUUGUGCCCAGAACCCUGUGCAUCCCAUGGGCUUGGGCUCCUUCCUCACCAGUGCUCUACAGGAUGUCCCUAUGACCCUCAUGGCUGCAUUAGGGCUCCCAAAGCACCUCUUUGUCCUCCCCACAUCAGGUUCCAUCCCCACCAGCUCCCAUCACAAGAGGUUGCACCAGCUGCAUGAGACUAUUGCAGCAGCCCAAGCCACACUGGCUCUGGUGUUGACUUCAUGCCUACAAUUUCCACCAAUAUUUGCACUGCGGCUGUGCAAACUUCACGCCAUUCAUUGGCUGCCCUCGAGCUGCAGCAGGGCUUUUCCCUGGUGUAUUUGCUCUGGUUCCCUGGUGUAUUUGCUCUGGGUAAGCAGUGGUUUCCUUCUCCCCAUGGCCCCUAGCCACCUUCCAGCCUCAGCACCUCUGCUCCCAUCACCGCUGCCUGCAGAGCACGGCUGGCAAAGAGACACCCCAGCCCCUUCCCCAUGGCCCCGCUGUGCACAGCUGUUCCCUUAGAAAUAGCUGUUGCCAUGGUUUUUCCAAAGAAAACACAUCUCCCCCCCACACCCCCCUCCCUGUUCCCCACCGCCACCGCUCCCCACCGCCUUAACCUUGUGACAGCAGCAAUGACGCGGCUCCCGCAGAAAGGCCACUUGGUGUAGCCAUGGUUUGGCAUCACCCGGCCCAAUGUGUGCCACAAAAACAUGGAGUAAGAGAUGAGACCAUGCAACAACAUCACUAUCGGCCACCCACACUAUGGGGUCCCUCUGCAGGAGUGGUGUCUGCAGGAGGAGGUGGUGGGAUGGAACUGGCUGACGCACGGAUGUGCUGAGUGCUGCCACGUAUUUGGCUAUGGCACGUGUGUAUGGAUGUGUAUUUGGGUGUGCUCACACACAGACACAAAUUCUCUUUGGGUUGCACUAGGAAUGGGCUCUCGCACAUGUCAGCAACCCUGGCCAGCCCGCACACCACAACUUUCCCUGCCUGUAGUGUUUCCCCUGCCUGCUCCAUGUGUCCAUCUAGGCAGACCACAGUUCUUUUCAGCUCAGCUCCAGCCCCCUGCACAGUUAAGAUUAUGUCCACAUAGCACGUGCCCCAUGCAUGAUCCCAAGUCCCCCUCAGGCACCCCAGCACAUUAGGGUGACCAACCAGGCAGGUCAGUGCCCCCUCAUUGCUGCUGGGCACACUGGAAGGGCAGGCAUAGGCUGCUCCAUCGUGCCACCCCUUUCCUCUUAGUGUGGGGGUUCCCCAGGGGUCUCACCCUUCCCUGCAGGGUGCAGCUGUGCAUCCCGCUGCAGGAUGGCCAGAUGUGCAAACAUCGCAGUACCAUGCCUUGGGGUUGCCACUCAGUUUCCAUCUACCCAACAACUGGUUUUGCCUCUUCCGCUCCAAACCCAGGCCCAGCCCAAGCUCUCACCAUCUUCUACCAUCGCUUCCCCGCAUCCCAGGAUGCAGGAAGCCAGCUUCUCUCUGUGGGGCUUGUCCUGGGCUGGGCAGUGGGUUUGGCCCCAGUUCUCAAGACUGGACUGCAGAAUCCCAUGAUCCCAUCCCUGCCUCGCAUAGUUCCCAUCCCUGCCUAUCUAGAUGUCUGCUGAAGACUGCAGAGGCAGCCUUGUGUAGGGCUGCUCGCAGCAUUUGUCCCAUUGCCUUGCUCCAAUUACGAGGCUGCCGGCUAUUUGGUGGUGGGGUCUGACACAGCCCCCAUGGACUUGAGACGUUGGGACCUGCCCAAGCCCUUGAUGGGAGCUGUUGUGGAGCUGGGCAGUCUGCAUAGUCCCCACUGGGUUACAUCCCAUGGGAAGGGCUGAACCCUUCCUCUCACUGGGAGUAGACACGCCGGUCUCCAUGCACACACCUCCAUUCUGAGCUGCUGCCGGACUCUUUUCCUACGCCGCUCCCUGCCUGAACAUCCAAGUGACACCAAAAUCCGCAGACAGAAUGAUGGCACUUACCUGCUGCUCACCCCGCUAGGGCUGGGAGGACAGCGGGACAGACACUGGGGACUGGUCCUUGCCCCCCAGCUGUUGGGCAGCCCCUCUCUCCCUGCUCCUUUACCAUGCACCGUGGCUCCUGCAGCACUCACCACCACCCACUAGCAGCCUCUCCAGGUACAAGGCACAGUAUGGGACACACUAGGGAUUAGGAGAUGCCAUGCUGGGGACACCCAGUUCCCACCUAGGGGUGGCAUACAAGGAAGAUGGGUGUCUAGUCGAGGAGGUGGGAGAUGCCUUCAAUGGUGCUCUGGGAAAGCCGGCAUGGAGGUGAUGGGAUCCUGUAGAGCCCAGUGCUGCCCAAAGCAGAAGCAUCCCAGUGCUCGGUGCCAGCAGGGCUCUGCCCCCACAGUGGGAACCCGUUGUCCCAGGGGUUACCCUAUCUUCUGGAAUCAUCCCCAUGCCCUCCCCAGAGGCAGCAGGAGCAUCCCCCGGGCCGAAUCACAGCAGGUGCCCGGUGCUGGGUGUCUCCACCACCUCCCCUUGGUGGCACGGAGUGAUCCCUUUGUCAGAGCUGGGGCUGCAGGGAUUGGAUGCAGCGAGGCAGGGGGGACUGUGGGGCCACGGAGCGCAGCCUUACCUUGGGAGAUCCACUGCGGUGGUGGGAGGUCGGCACUGGCACAAGCACAAGCACAAGCUCGGAGAGCCCCAGCACCACGGGAGCUGUACGGGAUAUGGGGACAGGUGGGAUGCAGUGGGACGGGAUGGGUGGGUGGAUGGGAUGCGGUGGGAUGGGAUCGAUGGAUGGAUGGGGGGAUGGAUGGAAGAGAGGGCGGAUGAGUGGUCGGGGGGCUGCAGGUUCCCCAGCUCCCAGGUGCGCAGACAAUAGCCAGGGCUCCUGUUGCAGCUGCAGACUGUCUCUUUAAACCCCUCACCAGCCCACAGGUGGCCCUGUCACCACCGUGGUCAUCCAUGACGUCAUCGGGAGGGAGGGAUGGAGAGGAGGAGGAAGAGGGGGGAGAAGCGCGAUCCCCCUCCACAGCAAAAGUCCCCGGGCGCCCAUGGCAACAAAUUGGAAAUGUCACUGUGCAUCAGCGGGAGGGGCCAUCACCCACGGGUGGCACAGCGGGACAGGGCUGUCACCCACGGGUGGCACGGGGUGCUCCUUGCCCGGGGACCUGCAUGGGCUCUGCGUUGUGUAAAGGUCGGGAGAGUUUGGGAAGGUGCUGAGGGCAGU